CUACCCAACCACUCACUCACUCACUCACUCACUCACAACUAUGCGGGCAGCCUCGGAGGUUGAAACUGUCUUCAUGAAUUGGCCAACCUUUUCCUGUUAUGUAUCGACAGAGGCGCGAUUAUAUAAAUAAGGUGCUACUUUCAAUGUGUAGGCAAAAGUUUUAACUAUAUUUGUUGACACCAGUGCCAACGAAAGCGAUAUCCGUUGGAAAUGUGUCGACUUUUGUUAAUGCAAACAUUACAGGAAAAAGUGCAAUGUCUGUAAUGUUUUAUAAAAGAUGACAACAGGCUUUCGACCACAAAAUUCAGAAAUGGCAUCAU